rnacentral:rRNA from 1 species
UCGGGAAUUUUGGACAAUGGGGGCAACCCUGAUCCAGCCAUGCCGCGUGAGUGAAGAAGGCCUUCGGGUUGUAAAGCUCUUUCGGACGGAACGAAAUGGUUACGGAUAAUACCUGUGACUGAUGACGGUACUAUUUAUAAGGUCCGGCUAACUACGUGCCAGCAGCCGCGGUAAUACGUAGGGACCAAGCGUUGUUCGGAUUUACUGGGCGUAAAGGGCGCGUAGGCGGCAAUUCAAGUCAUCUGUGAAAUCUCCGGGCUUAACUCGGAACGGUCAGAUGAUACUGCUUUGCUAGAGUGCAGAAGGGGCAAUCGGAAUUCUUGGUGUAGCGGUGAAAUGCGUAGAUAUCAAGAGGAACACCUGAGGUGAAGACGGUUGCUGGGCUGACACUGACGCUGAGGCGCGAAAGCCAGGGGAGCAAACGGGAUUAGAUACCCUUGUAGUCCCUGAGCGGGCUGGCAAGGCGCAU